GCGCCGGUGGUGUAAGGCGAACAUCGCUGCCCGGAGCAGAAGAUGCGGGUUCGAGUCCCGCCUGGCGCA
rnacentral:tRNA from 1 species